rnacentral:rRNA from 1 species
GACGAACGCUGGCGGCGUGCUUAACACAUGCAAGUCGAACGGUGAAAGCGGAGCUUGCUCCGCUGGAUCAGUGGCGAACGGGUGAGUAACGCGUGGGCAACCUGCCCCUCACUUCGGGAUAACUCCGGGAAACCGGGGCUAAUACCGGAUAUGACCUCCUUGGGCAUCCUUGGAGGUGGAAAGUUUUUCGGUGAGGGAUGGGCCCGCGGCCUAUCAGCUUGUUGGUGAGGUAGUGGCUCACCAAGGCGACGACGGGCAGCCGGCCUGAGAGGGCGACCGGCCACACAGGGACUGAGACACGGCCCAGACUCCUACGGGAGGCUGCAGUGGGGAAUAUUGCGCAAUGGGCGAAAGCCUGACGCAGCAACGCCGCGUGCGGGAUGACGGCCUUCGGGUUGUAAACCGCUUUCAGCAGGGAAGAAGCCGCAAGGUGACGGUACCUGCAGAAGAAGCACCGGCUAACUACGUGCCAGCCGCCGCCGUAA